GAUGAAGAACGCAGCGAAAUGCGAUAAGUAAUGUGAAUUGCAGAAUUCAGUGAAUCAUCGAAUCUUUGAACGCACCUUGCGCUCCUUGGUAUUCCGAGGAGCAUGCCUGUUUGAGUGUCACUAAAUUCUCAACCACUCUAGCCUUUGCGGGUUGGAUGUGGCCUGGAUGUUGGGGGUUUCUGCGGGCCUCUCUUUUGAGGUCGGCUCCCCUGAAAUGCAUUAGCGGAACCGUUUGCAGUCCGUCGCCGGUGUGAUAAUUAUCUACGCCAUAGACAAAGGCUGCUCUCUGUCUGUUCAGCUUCUAACUGUCCCCAGUGGACAACUUUCUGAACGUUCGUUUGACCUCAAAUCAGGUAGGACUACCCGCUGAACUUAAGCAUAUCAAUAAGCGGAGGA
rnacentral:misc_RNA from 1 species